AAUUAGUUUAUUAAUAAUUAAUUUUAUAUUAUUUAAUUUUAUAAAAAUAAUUUAAUUAUUUUUAGUUUUAGUAUUUAUUAAGAAUUAAUUUUUAAAUUUAUAGUUUAAAAGUAUUGUAAAAGAAUUAAUUAAAUUUUUUUAAAGAAUUUAUUUAAGUACCUUUUGUAUCAGGGUUGAUUAAAAUAUUAAAUUUAUUAUUUUAAUUCUCAAAAUUUGUAGAGUUAAUUUUAUUAUUAAUUUACUGUUUUAUAAGUAUUUAUAAAAUAAUUUUAGUUUUGAAAUUUAAUUCGUUAUAAUAUAUUUAGUUAUUUAAGAUCUAAAUUUAAUUUAAAAUUUUAAAAGUUUAAUUAAUUUUGUUAUUAAAAAUUUUAAAUUUAAAAAAUUUUAGGGAUAAGCUUAAAAUUUUAAUAUAAUAAUUUUAUUUAAAAAUAAUUUAUAGGAAUAGAAAUUUUUAUAUAAGUUUGUAAAAAUUUAUUAUUUAAAAGAAUUAAAUUUAUUAAAUUAAUUUAUUUUUAAUAUUAAAUUUUAUAAAAAAAUAAUUUAUUUAUAGAAAUAAUGAUUAAAUUAGUAUAAUUGCGAAAUUUAUAAAUUAUGAAUUCGGCAAAUUUUAUUUUCAUCUGUUUAUCAAAAACAUUGUAUUAAGUUUAAUUUAAUAUAAAAUCUGCUCAAUGAAUUUUAAAUAGCUGCAGUAUUUUUGACUGUGCAAAGGUAGCAUAAUAAUUAGUCUUUUAAUUGAGGACUUGUAUGAAUGAUUUGAUGAGAAAUAAACUUUAUUAUUUAUAAAAUUAAAAUUUUAUUUUUUAAGUAAAAAAAGCUUAAAUUAUUUAAAGGGACGAUAAGACCCUAUAAAACUUUAUAAAUAGCAUUAUUUAAUUUUUUUCUUGAUUAAUAAAUAUUUAAAUUUUGUUAUUUAUUUUAUUGGGGUGAUAAAAAAAAAUUGAACUUUUUUUAAAUAUAAACAUUAAUUAAUGAAUUUUUGAAUUAAAAUUUUUAAUUAAAGGAAAAAGUUACUUUAGGGAUAACAGCGUAAUUAAUUUUUUAAGUUCAAAUUUAAAAAUUAGUUUGCGACCUCGAUGUUGAAUUAAGAUUAAGUUUAGGUGCAAAAUUUUAAAUUUUAGGUCUGUUCGACCUUUAAAAUCUUACAUGAUUUGAGUUCACAACCGGUGGUAAGCCCAGGUUUGGUUUCUAUCUUUUUAAAAAUUUAAAUUAUUUUUAGUACGAAAGGAUUAAGUAAUUAAAUUAAAUUUUUUUUUUAUGAAUUAAACUAAUUUG
rnacentral:rRNA from 1 species